GUCAACAAAAAAUUUCAUCCGGGUAACUAAAUAAUAGGACUUGUUUUUUUUGUGUUAUUUUAUUUUUAUUUUUUCAUUUUUUUUAUUUUGUUUUACUAUUUGGUAUUUGGUUUAGCUUUCUUUAUUAUUAUUUAAUUUGAUUUUAUUUUUUAUAUUCAUUUUGAAAAAAAAGGGACAAAAAAAAAGAAAAGGAAAGGAAAAAAGAAAAGCAAAAAGUAAAAGAAAAAAAAUUAAAAUUAAAAUUAAAAAAAGAAAAAGAAAAAAAAAACGAAAAAGAAAAACAAAAGGAAAUAAGGAAGAAGGAAA
rnacentral:lncRNA from 1 species